GGACCCAUAGGUUAAAAAUGAAACAUUUGGACUAAACUGGUAAAAUGGCCCAAACCACAGGGACUAAAAUGGCAUUUAACUCAAUGAUGUAUUUUCUAACAUAAAAUUUAGAGUUAAAUGCCAUUUCAGUUCCUGUGGUUUGGGCCAUUUUGCGAGUUUAGUCCAAAGGUUUCAUUUUUUUGCCUGUGGGUCC
rnacentral:pre_miRNA from 2 species